rnacentral:rRNA from 1 species
CAACAGGGAUUGCCUCAGUAACUGCGAGUGAAGCGGCAAAAGCUCAAAUUUGAAAUCUGGCGCCUUCGGCGUCCGAGUUGUAAUUUGGAGGGGCAUCUUCGGGUUUGGCGCCGUCCUAAGUUCCUUGGAACAGGACGUCACAGAGGGUGAGAAUCCCGUGCCUGGGCGGCAGUCCAAAUCCAUGUGAAGUGUCUCCGACGAGUCGAGUUGUUUGGGAAUGCAGCUCAAAAUGGGUGGUAAAUUUCAUCUAAAGCUAAAUAUUGGCGAGAGACCGAUAGCGCACAGGUAGAGUGAUCGAAAGAUGAAAAGCACUUUGAAAAGAGAGUUAAAAAGUACGUGAAAUUGUUGAAAGGGAAGCGCUUGCGACCAGACUCGGUCUUUGGGGGUCAUCCGGUUUUCGGCUCGGUGCCAUCCCCAUUGAUCGGGCCAGCAUCGGUUCCGGCGGCGGGAUAAAAGGCGAGGGAAUGUGGCUCUCUUCGGGGAGUGUUUUAGCCCUCGUCACAAUGCCGCCAGCUGGGACCGAGGACCGCGCUUCGGCUAGGAUGCUGGCGUAAUGGUCUUAAGCGA